AAAAUAUUUACAGCAGCAGAAGUUUCCAGAAUGUUCUUGUCUUCCUCUUACAGUCUCUCCACUAAACCUUUCUAGGGUUCAUACUUGUUCCAAGAUUUCUGGUUGUUGAUUUUCACUCUUCUGUCCCUGCUCCAUUCUCGAGGAUUCCUCUCAGAUGGGCCCGUAGAAAAGAUAGUUAUCUGUAAAUAUUACUGAUGAGGAAGUCCUUUCUUCAGGAAGCUUGACCAAGAGGAUAAUGAUGAUGUAGAAAGAGCAGAUAUCAUUCCAUUCUGACUCUUCCAUGUUUGAAGGCAUAGAAGAUUACUCCCACCAAAUUGGAGGGAUGAUUGGGCUAAUAAAUGCAUCUAAUAUCAUACAGGAGAACUUUGGCUCAGGUCCAUCCCUAUGUAGUGAAGACCAUUGUGUCUAAUCUCAAUAUUAUCAACCUAUUGAAGACUGCAAUCAUUGGAACAAAAAGCUCUAGGUGGGUACUUGUGGAAGAGAGGACAUGGCCUUCUAGAGCUAACUUAAACAAGAGUGAACUUGAAAUCACCCGAAGAGACUCGAUGAUGAUGAUCCUUCUCCCUCAUAUAACAUGCUACGUGUCACAAUUGCACUAUUGCGGCAGUAGGACAGCGAUUGUGCGACAUUUGUCCUAACCAGCGAACAUGUUGGCUAUGUGAACACUUUGCGGACAAUAACGGCGUAUGCUCGAGCCUCGAAUCAUGUUUGAGAGAAAUGUAUGUUUUGGGGCAUUUGAUAGCAUAUAACUUGAGUAGGCAACAACAAUGGUUUUGAUAGCAUAUAACCUAGGUGAGAAGAUUUGGCAACUAGUCACAUUCUCACAUGGUACAUUUUGGGGCAUUUUAGCUUAAGUGGGGGUAGACAUGAUUUUGUGACGGAUUAUACACCCCGUAUCGAAACAACAACAAUAAUAAUAGGAGCCUAUCUAACAUGAAAAUAAGUAAAAAGGAUUUAGAACAAGCAUGCUGCCCUGGACAACACGUCUUGGAAAAGCAUGACCAAAGCAUUCGACAUGUAGUCAUAGGCAACACGUCUUGGACAAGCAUAAUGUUGCAUAUGAUAUGGUGCAUGCUGAUGGUAUCUUGUUCCUCGAAGCUCCUCAACAUCGUUGCACCAUGCUUCAUCUGUUAACUGAGAUUGAUUGGUUACAUCGCCAUAAAAGUUCAAUGAUAUAAUUGUAAGUGAUCCAAUCUUGUAAUGAUGAAGGUAGAAGAGAUUCCAUGAAAAAGUUGAUAAAGCUUA